UACGGAGGGUGCAAGCGUUGUCCGGAUUUAUUGGGUUUAAAGGGUGCGUAGGUGGCUUUUUAAGUCUGGGGUGAAAGGCAGUGGCUCAACCACAUGCAGGGCCCUGGAUACUGGAUGGCUUGAAUCCGGGAGAGGGAUGCGGAAUUCCAGGUGUAGCGGUGAAAUGCGUAGAUAUCUGGAGGAACACCGGUGGCGAAGGCGGCAUCCUGGACCGGCAUUGACGCUGAGGAGCGAAAGCCAGGGGAGCAAACGGG
rnacentral:rRNA from 1 species